AUGUCAAUGUCGGCGCUUAUCUCUGCUCUCCGCGGCGCCGGCCGUCAGCAGCUCGCCGCCGGCACCACUGUCACCACCACGCAGGUUACCGGUUCCUACUUGCUCAGGAUCGACGGGUGCACACUGAAGACGGCCAUCAAUGACACGCUGGUCAAGUCAGGUACCUUCGGCGUCGGCGGCCAUGACUGGCGCAUCCUGUGCUACCCGAACGGUGCGUGGUUGUACCGCGGCUGGCUCUCCCUCUACCUCGAGCGCGCCAACCAUAGCAAGACCGGCGACGCCAUGGCGGAUGUCCGCAUGAGCAUACUCGACCACGACGGCAAGACAAUUACAACCAAAAGUGGCGGCCGGAAAUUCUCGGGCCCCGAUGAUAGAUGCGGCUGGGACGAAUUCGUGGAGACCGAAGCCCUGGACAAGGAGAAGCGCCUCAAGGAUGAUGACAACUUGUCCAUCCUAUGCGACGUCAUCGUCUACGACACGCGCGCCGCCGACUACCGCGCCGGGCUCACGCCCACGGGUACCGUGGUGCCUCCGAGCGAGCUGCACCAGCAGCUCGCGGUGGUCCUGUGGGAGUCCAAGGAGGGGGUGGACGUGGAGAUCGAGGUCGGCGGGGAGACCUUCGCGGCGCACAGGUGGAUGCUCGCCGCCCGGUCGCCCGCCUUCAAGGCGGAGCUCGCGCUGACCACAGCAACGAACAGGCUACACAUCGACGACAUGGAUGCUGCAGUGUUCAAGGCCAUGCUUCUCUUCAUCUACACGGACGCGCUGCCCAAGGAGUUGGAGCUGGCAACCAUGGCGAAGCCGCUGCUCGUGGCGGCGGACAGGUACAAGCUCGAGAGGCUGAAGCUGAUCUGCGAGGAGGAGCUGUGCGGGCACAUCGGCGUGCAAUCGGUGGCCGCCAUGCUGGCGCUGGCGGAGCAGAAUUCUUGCCGCGUGCUCAAGGAGGCUUGCACGGGGUUCCUCUCCGAGCCCGGUAAUCUCAAAGCAGCCAUGGCGACCGGUGAUUUUGAGCAGCUGAAGACGGGUUGCCACCCUGCUCUUAUGGAGCUCCUCAUGAAGCAGUAUAUUGCCACGAUAGAAGCUUAG
rnacentral:rRNA from 1 species